GCGCUCUUAGUCCAAUUCAGUUGAAUGUGGGUCUCCAAAACCCAAUGUCGUAGGUUCAAAUCCUACAGAGCGUG
rnacentral:tRNA from 1 species